GAUAGCUCAGUUGGUAGAGCAAUCGGCUGUUAACCGAUCGGGAUUCCCGGACGGGUCACCA
rnacentral:tRNA from 1 species